ACACACACACACACACACACACACACACACACACACACACACACACACACACACACUGAACAGUAUUGGACAGGUGCAAGCAGCAGCAUUCUCUUCCUGUGGUCCAGAGCGUGGACUUAGUCCAUGCAACAAAAAAAAUAGUCACUUAAUGAUCUGAAAACAGUCAUCAGUUAUGAAUCCUACACAAAACAACACUAAAGAGGACACAAGGAGCAAGUUUUCAAUUUCCUAAAGCAAUGUCAAUAUCCCUAUAGUCUUAAAGAUCAGAUUUGGCAACUCAACA